rnacentral:rRNA from 1 species
ACUUCUUUAUCACCGAGUGCUUGCACUCACCGAUAAAGAGUUGAGUGGCGAACGGGUGAGUAACACGUGGGCAACCUGCCCAAAAGAGGGGGAUAACACUUGGAAACAGGUGCUAAUACCGCAUAACCAUAGUUACCGCAUGGUAACUAUGUAAAAGGUGGCUAUGCUACCGCUUUUGGAUGGGCCCGCGGCGCAUUAGCUAGUUGGUGGGGUAAAGGCUUACCAAGGCAAUGAUGCGUAGCCGAACUGAGAGGUUGAUCGGCCACAUUGGGACUGAGACACGGCCCAAACUCCUACGGGAGGCAGCAGUAGGGAAUCCUCCACAAUGGGCGAAAGCCUGAUGGAGCAACGCCGCGUGGGUGAAGAAGGUCUUCGGAUCGUAAAACCCUGUUGUUAGAGAAGAAAGUGCGUGAGAGUAACUGUUCACGUUUCGACGGUAUCUAACCAGAAAGCCACGGCUAACUACGUGCCAGCAGCCGCGGUAAUACGUAGGUGGCAAGCGUUAUCCGGAUUUAUUGGGCGUAAAGGGAACGCAGGCGGUCUUUUAAGUCUGAUGUGAAAGCCUUCGGCUUAACCGGAGUAGUGCAUUGGAAACUGGGAGACUUGAGUGCAGAAGAGGAGAGUGGAACUCCAUGUGUAGCGGUGAAAUGCGUAGAUAUAUGGAAGAACACCAGUGGCGAAAGCGGCUCUCUGGUCUGUAACUGACGCUGAGGUUCGAAAGCGUGGGUAGCAAACAGGAUUAGAUACCCUGGUAGUCCACGCCGUAAACGAUGAAUGCUAAGUGUUGGAGAGUUUCCGCCCUCAGUGCUGCAGCUAACGCAAUA